GCAACCUGUCAACUAAUGUCGUUAUUAUUUUAUAAAAGUAUUAUUUUGUGAAACUUAAGAACUACUGAUGCUGAUUUUCUAACCUCCGGUUCCACCAAUAAUCAGGUCUCCCUGCUCAAAGUUGUCCUGCACACUGUUGAUUGUAUGUUCUGGAAAGGAACCUCUUUUGUCAAUCAAACCUCGUGAAAGCUUUCAAACCAUUGGAUCCAAUAAUAGACUUUAGACGGAACUGAUAACUCAUAAGAGGUUGUUAAGGUUUUCUUACUUCAAAAAACGAAGAUAAUUGUUCACCGUCUGCAGUUGUGGCGAAGUAAUUCAAUGGUGCUCCAAGGGAAACAAUUCUCUUCUUCUUACUUGUAAUUUUUUCUCCAAGUAUCUGUCUGGAGAGAAAGAAGAAGAAGAAGAAACUGAAGUACAUAUCUCCGAUGAUUCUUCGUCUGAGGAAGAAGACGAUCUAAUAAAUCCUGUCAUCAUUCCGCUCGCAACAAAACCCAAAAAACUCCAGGACGACAUGAUCUUGCCUCUGGUUCAGAGUCAAGUCCUUCCAAUUGGAAAAUGGAUUGGAGUGGCAUUUUGAUCAUAUAGAUUACUAUUUAGACAUAUUUAGAUUUCAUUUCCAUUCAUAUGUUCUUAUUAGGUGUUGAAGUGUCCUCAUGGAGUUCAUGGAAACAAAAUAGGUCAAGAUUGAUUAGUUGAGUUGAUACAAACUCAAGUGUUAGAGUGGGGUACCAAAGCUACACGAGAAGGCCGAUGUGAACCUGGUGCAAUCUAGAGCGAGCGCUUGGAGUGGGACACCAAGCUCACUCCAUAGCUCCCAUUCUCGAAGGUCAUUUGAAGAAUCUGAAGGUAACACAAAGGACGAGAGCGAGCAUUACCCAGCGAGGUGAAGUGGUCGCUCUACAUUGGCGCACACUAGAGCGGAUGUCGAUAGCGACUGGGAGAGACCGCAGGAGGCAUGCCACAUUCGAACCUAAGCCUUAUGAAGUCUCAAGUGUUGGAGCGAGUAUAUGGAUGCAGGGUAUUCUUGUCACUCUACAUUGAGCCCACACUGGAGCGAGCUGAGGCAGCGACCAAACUGGCCCACUCCGAGGCUUGAUCACAUUCACGUCGAAGCCAAAGUAUCAGAGGGGCCAUUUGGAGCGAGAGCACCAACCAGCUCCACUUCAAUCACAUCAUGGAGCGGGUAUAUGGAGAGAGGUCACAAGGCCGCUCUCGGGCUUUACCUUGGUCAGUUUUAUCAUUUUGUGGGCUUUCGUAGACUUGUUAAUUGGGCCCACUCGUCUAAGAAGUUAUAUAAAUACAUUUUAGACCUAAAAGUUGGACUUAUCUUGUUUUCUCCCAAAAUACUUCCCUGCUUUGGUGAAACCUAGAAUAUUUAUCAAUCUAAUCUUUCUUUCUUGA